CAAGCUACAUCCAGUGACUUGUCUGUUUCACAGUGCCUUGUUCUGAAGUGUAAAUGCAUGGUUGAAACUGCAGUUCAGUUUGGUGUUACAACCAUAACACCAGAACAGGUUCUAAGGUUACAUAGUCUUACUGACAUUGAGCUUAAGUCUUCAGUUUUGAAAGUCACUUAGUUUGUCAGAACUUGAUGUUUUUUGCUACAGUUAAUAAAGCAACAUCGUCUGCGUAGAUGAAUUUCUUGGACACUUGUUGGUAUAUCUGCAGUGUAUAUGUUGAACAGCAGGGGAGCAGGAACUGAUCCUUGAAACUCAUUUUCCAGGACUUUUUACUUCCUGUCCUUACCUACUGUCAUUGUGAAGCUUUGGUUGGUUGAGUGUGUUGACUAGUGUCUUGUUUGGAAUUCUGAGUUUCCUAAGUAACACGGGGUCCUAAGGCGAGCUCAGGGAGGACAGAAACCUACCGUGCAGCAGAAGGGCAAAAGCUUGCUUGAUCUUGAUUUUCAGAAUGAGUACAGACUAUGAAAGCGGGGCCUCAUGAACCGUCAGGUUUUUGGGUUCCAAGCAGGAGGUGUCAGUUACUACAGGGAUAACUGGCUUGUGGCGGCCGGUUAGUUUUACUCUACUGAUGUUUUGCUGCAAUAGUAAUCCUUGCCUUGGGACCCUGUCGUUACCUUACCAAUGCCUUAGCAGACUACAGACUGAAAGUUACAUGCAAAGGAAAUGCUGUUCUCUCAAUUUCCCAAAACAUCUUGGAGUAACACUUGACAGAACACUUUUAUACAAACACCAUCUAGAUAAACUGUCACAAACGCAAGGAACAACCUAUUGAAGACUUGCUGGCCUCUCAUGGGGGGCAAACUUCAAAGUGCUACAGAUAACAUCAAUAGCACUCAUACUCUGCAGCAAAGUACUGUGCACCAGUAUGGGCUACAAGUGCCCAUAUUAAAGUAGA
rnacentral:ncRNA from 1 species